UACGGAGGGUGCGAGCGUUGUCCGGAAUCACUGGGCGUAAAGGGCGCGUAGGCGGCGCGGGGCGUCAACGGUGAAAGCUCGGCGCUCAACGCCGAGUCGGCCGUCGAUACUCCCGUGCUCGAGCACUGUAGAGGCAGGUGGAAUUCCGGGUGUAGCGGUGGAAUGCGUAGAGAUCCGGAAGAACACCGGUGGCGAAGGCGGCCUGCUGGGCAGUAGCUGACGCUGAGGCGCGACAGCGUGGGGAGCAAACAGG
rnacentral:rRNA from 1 species